AACGUAGGAGACAAACGUUAUCCGGGGUUACUGGGCGUAAAGGGCGUGUAGGUGGUAGUGUAAGUCUGGCGUGAAAUUUUUCGGCUUAACCGGGAAAGGUCGUCGGAUACUGCACAACUAGAGGACGGUAGAGGCGUGUGGAAUUCCGGGUGUAGUGGUGAAAUGCGUAGAGAUCCGGAGGAACACCAGUGGCGAAGGCGACACGCUGGGCCGUACCUGACAUUGAUGCGCGACAGCAUGGGGAGCAAACAGG
rnacentral:rRNA from 1 species